rnacentral:rRNA from 1 species
CCUACGGGGGGCGGCAGUGAGGAAUAUUGGUCAAUGGGCGAAAGCCUGAACCAGCCAUGCCGCGUGAAGGAUGACGGCGCUAUGCGUUGUAAACUUCUUUUAUACGGGAAGAAACCCCCGAACGUGUUCGGGGUUGACGGUACCGUACGAAUAAGCAUCGGCUAACUCCGUGCCAGCAGCCGCGGUAAUACGGAGGAUGCAAGCGUUAUCCGGAUUUAUUGGGUUUAAAGGGUGCGUAGGCGGAAAAUUAAGUCAGUGGUGAAAUCCUGCGGCUCAACCGUAGAACUGUCAUUGAUACUGAUUUUCUUGAAUACAGUUGAGGUUGGCGGAAUGUGUAAUGUAGCGGUGAAAUGCUUAGAUAUUACACAGAACACCGAUUGCGAAGGCAGCUAACUAAACUGAUAUUGACGCUGAGGCACGAAAGCGUGGGGAGCGAACAGGAUUAGAUACCCUGGUAGUCCACGCCGUAAACGAUGAUCACUCGUUGUUGGCAAUACAUCGUCAGCGACUAAGCGAAAGCAUUAAGUGAUCCACCUGGGGAGUACGAUCGCAAGAUUGAAACUCAAAGGAAUUGACGG